UGCAAGCACGAGCCCCACCGUGCCGCCUCCCGUAAUGAGAGCAGCCGCACAACCCUAGUUUUGACUCGCCGCUCAGGGGAUCCAAGCCACUGCUGUCUUCCAAGCGGUGCCGGUUGGAAGAUGGAUGCAAGGGCUGCAGUCACUGGUAUGAUGACGGUGAGCCAAGUGGAAGCAGAGUCCGAUAUGGCGAUGGCCAGCACACCCAAGAACUGACUGGCCCAUCAACCUGUGACCAAGAGCUCCACUAUCUCGGCAUGCAAAGAGGAACUUCAACUCAAGCGACCAUGGCAAAAGUGAGUUGUCACGAAGAGUGAAGCCACCAUUGCUAAUGCCAAUGAAAGUACCUCCAUGGGAUGAUGGCUACAAGAGCCCGACAAGCCCAACGUACAGCUAUCUCUCUCUCUUGUUCUUAUCUCUUGUUUGCCUCCAUGUUCUAAGUUCGUAUGCUUUUGGAGACAUGCAGAUAUUACUGUGAGGAUAUAGAACAAGAUUCACAUGGUGAAGAUAAGAAUUAGAAUCCAGGUAUAGUUUCACAGUUCUAGAUUUAGGUGCAGAUUUGGUCCAAUUAUGUUAUAUAAACAGGUGGGCAUCUUUCGAGCAGUUGUAAUAGGAUUUCCAUGUUGGUGUAAUUCAGAUUAUGAUGGUUCAAUGUACGAUUGCUGGAA